rnacentral:rRNA from 1 species
GACGAACGCUGGCGGCGUGCUUAACACAUGCAAGUCGAACGGAAAGGCCCUGCUUUUGUGGGGUGCUCGAGUGGCGAACGGGUGAGUAACACGUGAGUAACCUGCCCUUGACUUUGGGAUAACUUCAGGAAACUGGGGCUAAUGCCGGAUAGGAGCUCCUGCUGCAUGGUGGGGGUUGGAAAGUUUCGACGGUUGGGGAUGGACUCGCGGCUUAUCAGCUUGUUGGUGGGGUAGUGGCUUACCAAGGCUUUGACGGGUAGCCGGCCUGAGAGGGUGACCGGCCACAUUGGGACUGAGAUACGGCCCAGACUCCUACGGGAGGCAGCAGUGGGGAAUAUUGCACAAUGGGCGGAAGCCUGAUGCAGCAACGCCGCGUGCGGGAUGACGGCCUUCGGGUUGUAAACCGCUUUCGCCUGUGACGAAGCGUGAGUGACGGUAAUGGGUAAAGAAGCACCGGCUAACUACGUG